rnacentral:rRNA from 1 species
GACGUAGGGCGCGAGCGUUGUCCGGAUUUAUUGGGCGUAAAGAGCUCGUAGGCGGUCUGUCGCGUCGGCUGUGAAAACUCGGGGCUCAACCCCGAGCCUGCAGUCGAUACGGGCAGACUAGAGUGCGGUAGGGGAGACUGGAAUUCCUGGUGUAGCGGUGAAAUGCGCAGAUAUCAGGAGGAACACCGGUGGCGAAGGCGGGUCUCUGGGCCGUAACUGACGCUGAGGAGCGAAAGCGUGGGGAGCAAACAGG